rnacentral:rRNA from 1 species
GAUGAAUGCUGGCGGCGCGCCUAACACAUGCAAGUCGAGCGGUAACAUGGACUUCGGUCUGAUGACGAGCGGCGGACGACUGAGUAACGCGUGGGAACAUGCCCCAAAGUGAGGAAUAACUGCCCGAAAGGGUAGCUAAUGCCGCAUAUGAUCUUCGGAUUAAAGGAUUUAUCCGCUUUGGGAGUGGCCCGCGUUCGAUUAGGUAGUUGGUGAGGUAAAGGCUCACCAAGCCUACGAUCGAUAACUGGUCUAAGAGGAUGAUCAGUCAGACUGGAACUGAGACACGGUCCAGACUCCUACGGGAGGCAGCAGUGAGGAAUCUUCCACAAUGGGCGAAAGCCUGAUGGAGCGACGCCGCGUGCAGGAUGAAGGCCUUCGGGUUGUAAACUGCUUUUAUAAGUGAAGAAUAUGACGGUAACUUAUGAAUAAGCACCGGCUAACUACGUGCCAGCCGCCGCGGUA